rnacentral:rRNA from 1 species
CUACGUGCCAGCAGCCGCGGUAAUACGGAAGGUCCAGGCGUUAUCCGGAUUUAUUGGGUUUAAAGGGAGCGUAGGCCGUGGAUUAAGCGUGUUGUGAAAUGUAGACGCUCAACGUCUGAAUUGCAGCGCGAACUGGUUCACUUGAGUAUGCACAACGUUGGCGGAAUUCGUCGUGUAGCGGUGAAAUGCUUAGAUAUGACGAAGAACUCCGAUUGCGAAGGCAGCUGACGGGAGCGCAACUGACGCUGAAGCUCGAAGGUGCGGGUAUCGAACAGGAUUAGAUACCCUGGUAGUCCGCACAGUAAACGAUGGAUGCCCGCUGUUGGUACCUGGUAUCAGCGGCUAAGCGAAAGCAUUAAGCAUCCCACCUGGGGAGUACGCCGGCAACGGUGAAACUCAAAGGAAUUGACGGGGGCCCGCACAAGCGGAGGAACAUGUGGUUUAAUUCGAUGAUACGCGAGGAACCUUACCCGGGCUUGAAUUGCAGAGGAAGGAUUUAGAGAUA